rnacentral:rRNA from 1 species
AAAGGAAUAGACGGGGACCCGCACAACUGGUGGAGCGUGUGGUUUAAUUUGAGACGAAGCAAAAAACCUUACCAAGGUUUGACAUGUUACCGUUUUAUACCUAUGGAAACACUGGUAGAUCCGCAAGGAUGGUAACACAGGUGCUGCAUGGCUGUCGUCAGCUCGUGUCGUGAGAUGUUCCCUUAAGUGGGGAAACGAGCGCAACCCCCGUGAAAUGUUACAUAUUCAUUUCAGACGGUCCCGAUCAUAUCGGGAAGGAAGGAGGGGAAGACGUCAAGUCAGCAUGGUCCUUACACCUUGGGAUACACACACCCUACAAUGGCGAAGAACAAUGGGCUGCAAGCUAGUAAUAGCAAGCUAAUCUCAGAAAUUUCGCCUCAGUUCAGAUUGGGGGCUGCAACUCGCCCCCAUGAAGUCGGAAUCAGUAGUAAUCGCGGAUCAGAAGGCCGCGGUGAAUACGUUCUCGGGUCUUGUACACACCGCCCGU